GUGCCGUGAUGCUUAUUUAACACAUCAUUCUUAUUGUAUGGUGAAGAAACUUCAGAAAACUGAGCACU